rnacentral:rRNA from 1 species
GUUCGCUUCGAGGGUCGCUUUAACGAUCACGUUCUUCCUCCGCCGCCGCUGUGCGAGGGGUUGGAGAACGAAGAUGACGAUGACGACAACAGCGAGCCCGAGGAUGAAUACUCGGUCGAUUCGGAAGACGAGGAAGAUGGCAGCAGCAGCGAGGAGGAGGAGGAUGAGGAGGAGAGCGACGGUGAGGUCGACGGACAAGCGGCCAGCGCCGACGAUGACGUGACGCUAGGCAUUCUACAGACGCUGCACCGUAGGAAGUUCGUCCCCGAGGGGCAACUCGUUGGAGGUUCGGCGCCGCGGUUCGCCUGCGCCGGGAGGACGCUCGGCUUCAUGCGAGUCGCCGCCGUGGAGAGCGAAGGAGGAGACGACAGCAAGCACAUCUUGGUGCUCUACCGCUACACCCGCUUCAGGGCAUCACCGGACGGCGUGGAACGGCGAGGGAGGACGACGGAGCACCAGCUCCGGUUCAUCGCCACCGGCGACCACACGGCGAGGUCGCUGGCGUGGGCCGGAUCGUCUCUGGGCCUGCUCAUAUACCCCGAUAUCUCGAGCAAGAAACUCGAGGAGAUCACCAAGCAGCUCCAGGAGCUAUGGUCCAUCUUGGCGUCGCAGGUGAGCGUCCCGCCGGGAGCAAGGCGCGUCGAGGUGUUCGUGGACGUCGGCAUCCUCCGGCGGGCGGACUACACGCCGGCGAGCAUGGGGCACAUGUACCCCGCGCUGGAAAGCAUGGUGGCGGACCCGUGGCCCGGGCGCUUCAUCGGCAUGGAGUUGCCCUUGCCGGUGCCGGUACGGUGCGGCACGGAAGGCGAAUUAGCCGGCGAUGACGAUAGAGGCAGAAACGCAGACGAGCGGCCGGCAAAGCGGAGGAGGGUAGACGUCGCUGGGGAGGAUUGCCCUGUCUGCUUGCAGCUGCUGGAGGGCGACGACCUCGCCGCGUGGCCCGGGUGCCGCGGCAAGCCGCACGUCUUCCAUGGCGCGUGCCUGGAGGGCGUCCUCCAGAACAGGGACAUCUGCCCUAUGUGUAGACACAAGCUGGACAUCAAA